UCUUUGUGUAAGCUUUGGAGCUUAUCCUGGCACUCACUAUGUAGACCAGGCUGGCCUCGAACUCACAGAGGUCCUCCUGCCUCUGCCUCCCAAGUCCUCUUUUUCCUUUUAAAUUAGGAUAUUUUCCCAGUUUUACCAGUUAGGUGUCUGUGAUACUGCUGAAGUUCUUGCUAUAUGUAGAAGGGCCUAUCUUAGUGGCAUUAUUCUAUGUUGUAUAAAGUAACUAACAUUGUAGUUUUUUUAAAUUAAAAUGUUUUAGGAUAGAAAGUGAUUUACCAGUAUUUCCCCACUUACAAAACGACAGUUCUCUUAAGGCAGCAUCUCAGGUAACCCUUAUUGGCCUCUACCUCCUCCUCAUCUAGCUAAGGAAGAAAUACCUCCAACUCCUGAUCCUCCUGCCCCUUCCCAAGUGUUGGGAUCAAAAGCAUACACCACCACACUAGUCUUCAAAUUCUUAAAAAACUGUUUAUUGUGCAUGUGUUCUUAUACCAUGGCACAUAUUGCAUGUCAGAGGACAACUUUCAGUUCUUUUUUUCUGUGUGGGUGGGUGGGUUCUGAAUGAAACUCAGGUCAUUAGGCUUGGUGGCAAGUGCCUUUACCCUUUAAGUCUUCUCUCCAAUUAUUUAUUUAUUUAUUUUGGUUUUUCAAGACAGGGUUUCUCUGUGGCUUUGGAGCCUGUCCUGGAACUCUCUCUGUAGACCAGGCAGAUCUCUGUGAGUUUGAGGUCAACCUGGUCUACAGAUCGAGUGCUAGGAUAGGCUCCAAAGCUACAUAGAGAAACCCUAUCUCGAAACAAACAAACAAACAAACAAAACAAAAAGAACCACCAGGUUCUACCCAGAGUGUGUGUGUGUGUGUACACACCCUAGCCUUAAAAAAUUGUGUGCAUACACUUUUUGGGUGGUUUUCAUUUUUUUUAAAAAAAAUCAUGUGCACAUUUGUCUGUGUGAGGGUAUUGGAUUCUCUGGAAUGGAGUUACAGGCAGUUGUGAGCUGGCUUGUUGGUAUGGAAAAUUGAACCCAGGUCCUGUGGAAGAGCAGUCAGUGCUCUUACCCACUGAGCCAUCUCUGAAGCCCCCAAUGUUCGUGAGCUUUUACAGGGCUACCUACAAUUGAAUCUAGGUGUUUACACCUGAUCUUGAACUUCUGAUCCUCUUUCCUUUAUAUCAGUGUUGAGAUUGCCAGUUUGCACCACCACUUUAUGUGGUGUUGGGGACUGAGGAGGGCUCUGUGUAUGUAUCUACUCAGUCACAUCUUUAGCCUAUCCUGUACUUUUGAUUUGCAUUUCCUUAAAGGCUGGUCGUUUGCAGCUUAAUCCCCCCUCCUGUUUCUCUGUGGCUUUGGAGCCUGUCUUGGAACUCUGUAGACCAGGCUGGCCUCAAACUUCAAACUCACAGGAUCCGCCUGCCUCUGCCUCCUGAGUGCUGGGAUUAAAGGCAUGCACCACUACUGCCAGGCUUAAAGUUGUUUUUAGCUUGUUUGUAAGCAUAGGUUUACAUGCCAUGGUGUGUGUAGUGGAGACUAGAUCCCUUGGAACUAGAGUUACAGCUGAUUGUAAACAGCUUGUGUGGGUGCUAUGAAUCUGGAAGAGCAGCUGGUGUUAUUAACCACUGAUCUCACUCAGACUCUCAUUCUAUCUUUUUGUAGGUUCUGGGGAUUGAGCUCAGGUUAUGAGGCUUGUGGGCAGCUGGUACCUUCACCUGCUGAGUGAACCAUCUCGCUGGCCCAGGGACAGCUUUUAUGUGUUUACUGUCCUAGUUAGGGUUCUCUCGAUGGGAUAAAAGACCAUCACAACAGCUUAGGUGGGAAAGGGUUUAUUUCACCUUACUGGCCACAGUCUUUCAUUGAGGGCAGUCAGGGCAGGAACUUGAGGCAGAACUGAAGCGAAGGAGGCCAAGGGGGAUGCUGUUCACUGGCUUGCUCCUCAUGGCUUGCUCAGCCUGCUUUCUUAUAAAACCCAGGAACUCCUGUUGGGAUGGCACUUAUCAUAGUGGGCUGCAUUCUUCCACAUCAAUCAUUAAUCAAGAAAAUGUUCCACAAACUUGACCACAGGCCAGUUUGGAGGCAUCUUCUCAAUUGAAGUUUCAUCUUCCCAGAUGACCCUAGCCUGUCAAGUUGACAAAACCUAACAACUAGCAUACUUACCAUUUGCAUAUUUUUGGAGAAGUGCUUAUCUCAUCCAUAAUUUUUUUUUUUGAGACAGAGUUUCUCUGUGUAGCUUUGGACCUUGUCCUGGAAUCUAUGCCUAUUUUUUAACUGAGUUGUUCCCUGGUUGUUGAGGU
ensembl:lncRNA